rnacentral:tRNA from 1 species
UGCGGAGUUGUGUAAUGGUAGCACAGCGGCCUUUGAAGCCGUUUGUCCAGGUUCGAAUCCUGGCUCCGCAG